rnacentral:rRNA from 1 species
GAAUUUUGGACAAUGGGCGAUAGCCUGAUCCAGCAAUGCCGCGUGCAGUAUUAAGGCCUUCGGGUUGUAAACUGCUUUUGUACGGACCGAAAAGCUUUUGGUUACUACCCUCGACUCCUCACAGUACCGUAAGAAUAAGCACCGGUUAACUCCCUGCCAGCAGCCGCGGUAAUACGUAGGGUGCAAGCGUUAAUCGGAAUUCCUGGGAGUAAAGCGUGCGCAGGCGGUUUUGUAAGACAGAGGUGAAAUCCCCGGGCUCAACCUGGGAACUGCCUUUGUGACUGCAAGGCUAGAGUACGGCAGAGGGGGGUGGAAUUCCGCGUGUAGCAGUGAAAUGCGUGGAUAUGCGGAGGAACACCGAUGGCGAAGGCAACCCCCUGGGCCUGUACUGACGCUCAUGCACGAAAGCGUGGGGAGCAAACA